rnacentral:rRNA from 1 species
AAUUUUGGACAAUGGGGGAAACCCUGAUCCAGCCAUCCCGCGUGUAUGAUGAAGGCCUUCGGGUCGUAAAGCUCUGUCCUUGGGGAAGAAGGCGAAAGCUUGACGGUACCCAAGAAGAAAGACCCGGCUAACUACGUGCCAGCAGCCGCGGUAAUACGUAGGGGGCGAGCGUUGUCCGGAAUUACUGGGCGUAAAGGGUGCGUAGGCGGCCUUUUAAGUCAGAUGUGAAAGGCUGCGGCUUAACCGCAGGACUGCAUUUGAAACUGGAAGGCUUGAGUGUCGGAGAGGGUAGUGGAAUUCCCAGUGUAGCGGUGAAAUGCGUAGAUAUUGGGAGGAACACCAGUGGCGAAGGCGACUACCUGGACGAUAACUGACGCUGAGGCACGAAAGCUAGGGGAGCAAACAGG